UACGUAGGGGGCUAGCGUUGUCCGGAAUCAUUGGGCGUAAAGCGCGUGUAGGCGGUCCGGUAAGUCCGCUGUGAAAGUCGAGGGCUCAACCCUCGAAUGCCGGUGGAUACUGUCGGGCUUGAGUACGGGAGAGGCGAGUGGAAUUCCUGGUGUAGCGGUGAAAAUGCGCAGAUAUCAGGAGGAACACCGAUUUGCGAAGGCAGCUCGCUGGAACGUUUACUGACGCUGAGACGCGAAAAGCGUGGGGGGAGCAAAACAGGG
rnacentral:rRNA from 1 species